UACGUAGGGAGCAAGCGUUGUCCGGAAUCAUUGGGCGUAAAGCGCGCGUAGGUGGCCUCGUAAGUCCGCUGUAAAAGUCAAAGGCUCAACCUUUGAAAGCCGGUGGAUACUGCGGGGCUAGAGUACGGAAGAGGCGGGUGGAAUUCCUGGUGUAGCGGUGGAAUGCGCAGAUAUCAGGAGGAACACCAAUAGCGAAGGCAGCUCGCUGGGACGUUACUGACACUGAGGCGCGAAAGCGUGGGGAGCGAACAGG
rnacentral:rRNA from 1 species